UCGAUGAGCAUGAUCCUGAUCCGAACAUUUUGACCGUGACUCAUCUCAAACCAAACCAACCCGAAGCGCCCUUAAGUUGACCCUAGUCGGGCCGUGCCGCUAAACCCGACCCGACCUGAACAGAUCUGACCGAACGUCAUCCGAACAGAUGCCCGAGCCUGAUGUUGAACCGAAAUCAGAUGUUGAGCAUGAAUCUUUCCCGAGAAGGCCCGAACCUGAACCGCGUUGAAUCCCCAACUCGAAAUCUGAACAACAUGAACCAAGUGACCCGAGCCCAAUACAACUUCUGACCUGACCUGAACUUGAACGUGCCGCGAAACCCGAACAUCGUACCAGAACUCGAGCUGCGAUUCAUCACCACCGCCGUUCUCACCGUCGCCGGCGUCUACUGCCGUCGAGAGACACCCGCCGCCGCCGUCGGAGUUACGUCGCUGGUCAGCCGCCGACACUAACUCUCUCUAUCUUCUCUCCCUCAAUCUCUCUCUCUCUCUCUCGUCGGCUCUUCCGAUCUUGUUGUCGCCCGCUACUCGCCACCACCAGAAGGUGGUGGGUGUUGUUGUCGUCUGAGAAGCAAGAGGGAGGCCGGUGAGGUUCCGGCUCCGGUCAUCCUGACCAAACAGAUCGAGAAGAAGAUGGGGGGGGGGGGGUGUUUGGCUGUGUUAUGUCUGUGUGUAGAGAUUGAAAAAGAUGAACGUGUUGGUGUGUUUUGGCCAGGAGAGAUGAGUGAGAUGGAGAGUUGAAGUGUUCUUAUGAGUGUUAUUGUAGUUGAGUUUGGCCAGAAAAGUUUAGAGUAAACAAUACUAUGUCAGAAAGCAUGUGUGUUGAGUGUUUGAAUUCAUAAUAUUGGAGAGUGUUUUACGCAUCAUGUCAUGGUGC
rnacentral:lncRNA from 1 species